GACGAACGCUGGCGGCGUGCUUAACACAUGCAAGUCGAACGGAAAGGCCCUGCUUUUGUGGGGUGCUCGAGUGGCGAACGGGUGAGUAACACGUGAGUAACCUGCCCUUGACUUUGGGAUAACUUCAGGAAACUGGGGCUAAUACCGGAUAGGAGCUCCUGCUGCAUGGUGGGGGUUGGAAAGUUUCGGCGGUUGGGGAUGGACUCGCGGCUUAUCAGCUUGUUGGUGGGGUAGUGGCUUACCAAGGCUUUGACGGGUAGCCGGCCUGAGAGGGUGACCGGCCACAUUGGGACUGAGAUACGGCGCAGACUCCUACGGGAGGCAGCAGUGGGGAAUAUGGCACAAUGGGCGGGAGCCUGAUGCAGCAACGCCGCGUGCGGGAUGACGGCCUUCGGGUUGUAAACCGCUUUCGCCUGUGACGAAGCGUGAGUGACGGUAAUGGGUAAAGAAGCACCGGCUAACUACGUG
rnacentral:rRNA from 1 species